AUGAGCUUCCUAAGAAGCAUUUUCAUAAAGGAGCUGAAUCCAGAUGUCAUUUACAUGUCUGUAUUUGCAAACACAGAGCCAGCAGCUCUUGCAAGACAGCAGUGUCUCACCUCUUAUGCUGUAAUUUACUUUAUCCCUAUUCUGACUGGCUAUACCAAGUUUGAUUUCUUUUUUUUAUUUUGGAUACACUUCAGUGUAACUGGAAACAUAAUUUAGGCCAGAAUGUGGAGACUAUGGAGUUACACCAGCAAAGUGCCACAGAUGUGUCCUCAGAAGUGACGUGGUGCCCCCAGGGAGUGCGUUGCUCACAGGAUCUGUUACCGGCUGCAAAUGUGAAGUUGUUACCUACAGAAACCAUUCCUGCCCGAUCAGACUAAAUAAGUAACAUAAAGCAAUAUCACUCUCAGGCUGACGUCUCCAGUACCCCCGCAGCUAGAGAGCCAGCAGUAUUUCAUCGUCCUCAGCACAUAUGAAAGGCAAAGAGGACUGCCACAUGCAGCAGUUCUUUACCGAAGAGGCAAAAUGUUUGCUGCCCGUGCUGGGACAGCAGUGUGUGCUGCAGCCCCCUCCGGCUUGCUCACGCAGGCGAGGGCCCCGCUAGGACGGCCGCCCCUGCCCCCAGACCCAUGGGGCAGCGGGGCUAGCCCCACCUCCGCUCCUCUCCUAGCUCCUCAGUCCUCAGCGGCGCGUCUCCAAGAAGAGCCAUCCACACGAUGCUGCUGAGACCUCCCGGGCCUCAGGAUUCCCAUGCAGGCAUUGAGCUGUGGCAUUUGCACCUCAUGCUCUUGGGUCACACUGCGAUGGCAUGAAACCUGAGCGUCUCCUUGCCCUUGCACAGCAGGGUCUUGGUGGCAUCCCGGGGGGGGGGGGGUUGUCCCCCUCCUGCCACCCACCACCUCCCCGCAGCCACCCCCGUGCUCCUGCACACAGAAGAAGGUCCUGGUUAGGGCCAGGAUGCCUGCUUGCCCCUCGAGGAGAUGACUGAACACAUCUUGUUGCCACUCGUGGAGCAUUUGGGCAUACAAAUAUUAAGGCAGAAGACCGCAAAAUCCUGGGUCAGGCAGACUGGGAAGACCAGUGAAAUGGUUGCUGCAGUUUGCCUACACCGGCUCUGGUUCCCGAUCUUCAGCGAGUCUGACGAGAUUUUGUUUUGAAGAGCAAACUUGGGGAGCGGCACUGUGGUCACCCGCACAGUGAUGCCACUUGGCUGGGCUGGCCCCAAGGCUUGCAGUCAGACGCUCUGGGACAAGAAUGCUAAAAAGCAGGUGAAAUGUAUCAGCAAUUCUGGCUCCUUUUUUCAUUUCGUUGUGAAAAAAAAUUCUGGCCAGCUUUGCCUCAGUUUAUCCACAUAGUGAGAGGACACAGAGGAUAGCAUUUCAUGCGUGGAAUUUUAAUGAUAACUUUAUUAUAUUUCAGUAUAUUAUUGGCUUACGAUUUUGUAGUCUUACAAGAAAUUUCCGUUUCCACAUCUCCAUUAAAUGUCUGAUUCAUUUUCUUGGCUCAUGAUAAUGCCUCCAAGCUACACCACUAAAGAAUCAGUGUUCUGCAUUGGAUAAAUAUAAGACUGAGUUUGAUUAACCUAUUAACUAUUUUUAAUUAGGUUUUACUGUUCUUCAGAUAUUCCAUGUUUUUGAGGAAGCAGAAAGAGUACCCUAAUAUUAUAGAGCUUUAUAGAGCUAGCAUAUGGACCUAGAUUAUUCAUCAUAAUUGGCAGAAGCUCUGCUGUAGAAAAUCUUGCAACAACAUCACAAUUUUCUUGCUACUGGGAAUGUCAUAAUGGACACAUUUGCAGUGUGAAUUAUGGACAAGAGUGAAAAAAAAAUUAAAUCUUUAUAGCAUUUUUAUGCUCUGUCUUCCUUUUUGGUAAUCAGAUCUUGAUUAAGAGUUGGAAUUAGCCCCCAGAAGAACAUUCGGAUUUCCUGGCUCGGGUCCUUUUUCUGAAUGUAGGGCAGACGACAGAUGAUUCACUGGCUUUCCUGCUCUGCUACACCAAAAAGGUGUCUAAAUACCUAUCCAUCACUUUUAGAAAGUACCUGACUACUUGCUUGCACUGAAGAACAUACGGCAAAGGUGAAGCACUGAAAGAAAAAAAUGCUGUAGUGAGAUUCUCUUUCGUAUUUCCCCUGAUGGCUGCGCUGCGUGGGCAAUAGUUCCCCCUCUUAUUCUCUCAGUCCCAGGCUGCCUAUUUGCGGGUGCUUUCUUGCAGUGGCAGUAAUUCUCAAAACACUGAGCCACCGUUUGGUUUCAGUCAGGAGGAGCACCCAUAAUAAACAAGCAGGGCGUACCGGCUCUUGCUGCUGU
rnacentral:lncRNA from 1 species